rfam:Cajanus cajan Scaffold137499_3, whole genome shotgun sequence.
GAAUGACAUGAUGAUUUCUUUUCCCUAUUGGUUUGAUAGCCUGAAUGAUGGCACUUGUGUAUUAGCUCUAUCGGAUCAUUC